GGGAAUGUGGCUUAGUGGUAGAGCGCUUGCCUUGCAUGCAUGAAGCCCUGGGUUCAGUUCCUCAGUACCA
rnacentral:tRNA from 1 species